UGAAACUACACUUUUUUAUUUUCAUGCUGUACUCAAUAUUACUGCUAAUAUACAGCAUCCAUGUCUUCAUACCUUUCAUCUACGGGAGAAACUGAACAGGACAGAAACAACAUCAAAAGACAAAAUAACUCGUGAAAAAGUGACUCGUGCCAAAUCUGACAACACGAGCAACAAGAUGUGGGCUAACAGGGUUUUCCUCAUCUGUAUGUCCUGAUGCGAGUGUUCUCUUCCAGGAUGACACUGCACACAUCCAUAGCAUACAAAAGGUGAUGACAACAACCAGAUCUCAGCUCAGCUAUGACAAAUUAGAAAGUCCUCUCCAGCAGCAUCAUCAAAAACCCACAUGAGGAAAUGUCUUUUGAAACAAUAGUGUUCAUCCCUUCAGUAGAGUCAGACUUGGAAUCAGUACUAGAAGCUACUCUGGCAGAGCAUGGUAGCCUGACACUUCACAGGAACUGGGAUCAGCAGUGUGUGUUUAGGGUUUUUAAUCUUAAAAGCUAUAGCAAGAGUCAACUUUCUUCAUUUAUUUCUUUUCUAUUAUUUUUGCUAAUAAUUGGAGAAAAAUAAAGAUUCUUCAUUACGGUAGGGGAUUUUUAAUUUAUCAUUGUAAAGCUUUAGGAAGAAUUUAGUUGUAAAUUAUCAUUUAGACUUUGUUAGAGUAAAAACACGUUUCAGUCCCAUGUAAAAAAUUAAGCUACUGGUUAAGCUUCAGGGGAAUCACACAAAUGUCCACUGUGUCUACUGUAGCUCUGAGAUUUUAUAAAGUCGCAUUAACUUCAAAAGAAAAAGUUACAACUUAUCGCCAGGUGAGUUGGUGUGGAUAGCCCCACGGGAAUGUCGGAUUGACCCACUUGUUUAAUCCCUGUAGUGCCCCCUAGUGUGUGGACGUGAAUUUCUGAAAUUAAAAAUGUAUAAGUGAAUAACUCUAUUGAGUAAUUUACAAUGUCUUUAAAACCUAACUACACCCAACCAUCACAGGAACUGGGAUGAUUUUUCUUUGUACAGUUUCGGUCAGAGGCUCUCUCCCUGCGCAGGUAUAAACAUUUAUAGAUGCAUUUGAGUGACAACAUGUUUGCUGAUAUUCUUCACCAAGAUCUUCUAUAAAUAUUUAUAACAUUUAUUUGUUUCGACAGUAAUCUGAUAGUAGGAUACCCCUGCUCGAAAGAUUAGUUUGUGUUUCUCUAAUGUUUACUGUUAUAACAUUAAAUAGAAGGUGUGAAA
ensembl:lncRNA